GUGUCAGCCGCCGCGGUAAUACGUAGGGAGCGAGCGUUGUCCGGAAUCAUUGGGCGUAAAGAGCAUGUAGGUGGAUCAAUAAGUCUGCUGUGAAAGUCGAAGGCUCAACCUUCGAAAGCCGGUGGAUACUGUUGAUCUAGAGUACGGAAGAGGCGAGUGGAAUUCCUGGUGUAGCGGUGGAAUGCGCAGAUAUCAGGAGGAACACCAAUAGCGAAGGCAGCUCGCUGGGACGUUACUGACACUGGGAUGCGAAAGCGUGGGGAGCAAACAGGAUUAGAUACCCUGGUAGUCCACGCCGUAAACGAUGGGUACUAGAUGUGGGAGGUGUCGACUCCUUCCGUAUCGUAGCUAACGCACUAAGUACCCCGCCUGGGGAGUACGGCCGCAAGGCUAAAACUCAAAUGAAUUGGCGG
rnacentral:rRNA from 1 species